CUUUAAAAUAAUAAACGCGUACACGUUCUGAAGUAUUGGCAUUGACUAGUGUUAUUUGUGUGGUUGUAGUUUUUGUAUUGGACUGUGAAGAUUAGUGAUGCUUAUCAAAAUUAUGCCAUUAGGUGGCAGUACCAACGAUGUUUCGUCCAGCAUUACUGAAGAAGAAUACCGCCAACGUGACUAACGGAGGAACAAACCUGAGACAGAGGCUUGCCAGCAGCAAUACACACGAGCUAAGAAUUUAGUGUGGAAAAAAUGCAGGACAAUCCUUCCAGUACCACAAUGGAGAGGCAGACUCCCAAAGGCAACAGAUGUAAAACAUCCUGCUGAAUACUUUAGAGGCCUCCUCACUAGUAGCUGUAUUGAAAAUAUAGUAGAACAAACCAACCUCUAUGCCAUACAGUGUGAUCCUAGCAAACCACUCAAAGUCACAUUUGAGGAGAUUGAGC
rnacentral:lncRNA from 1 species